rnacentral:lncRNA from 1 species
AAUCCAACUUUCAGAAGUUUGUCCACUUCUUCGGCUAUCGCUUUCUGCCUCUCCGAUGCAUGACCUCGGACAUUUUCUUUCAUCGGUCGUUGCUUUGGAUCGACGGCCAGACGGUGUUCCAUGACUUCUGUGUCAAUCCCCGGCAUGUCUGCUGGAAUCCAAGCGAAAACAUCCGCAUUCUUUCGUAGGAAAUCAAUGAGAUGCAUCCACACCUCUUCCCCC